rfam:Wallemia sebi CBS 633.66 unplaced genomic scaffold WALSEscaffold_25, whole genome shotgun sequence.
GUCAGGAUGGCCGAGUGGUUAAGGCGCUUGACUUGAAUUUGUUCACAUCUUCUGGUAUCAAGUACCCAUGUGGUGCGCAGGUUCGAAUCCUGUUCCUGACG